rnacentral:lncRNA from 1 species
CCUGGGCAACAAGAGCAAAAUUCCAUCUCAAAAAAAAAGAAAAGAAAAAGAAAAACAAGUGCCACUGAAAUCGUAACCAAAGGAAGCAUUAUCCUUUCAGAAAAAUCUCAAAGAAAAGUAUGGCAAGCAACAGCAGUAGCUGCUGGGUCAGGCUCUGAACGAAAGGGUAGAGAGAGAUUCAACCAGUCAGUGUAAAAGUUGGGAGAUAAAGUUCUUCCAGAAUAUAGAGGUGCCAAAGCAGCUCUACAUGACAAGGAUUAUUCAUUUAGAGAUGGUGACACUCUUGGAAAGUAUGU